rnacentral:misc_RNA from 1 species
CAUUUUUACUGGCCCGGUAUGCAAUUUGAUGUUUUGCAAUGGGUAAGACAAUGUGAUCAGUGUGCCAGAUGUAAAACAGAAACUUGUUCCGUGCCAGGGUUGCUCUGACCUUUACCAUUGCCAUCCCAAACUUGGCAACAUCUCUCAAUGGAUUUCAUUAAGCAAUUGCCUAAGUCAAAUGGUAAAGACUCCAUCUUGGUAAUGGUUUGUAGAUUUACCAAGUAU